rnacentral:rRNA from 1 species
CCUACGGGUGGCAGCAGUGAGGAAUAUUGGUCAAUGGACGAGAGUCUGAACCAGCCAAGUAGCGUGAAGGAUGACUGCCCUAUGGGUUGUAAACUUCUUUUAUAUGGGAAUAAAAUGUUCCACGUGUGGGAUUUUGUAUGUACCAUAUGAAUAAGGAUCGGCUAACUCCGUGCCAGCAGCCGCGGUAAUACGGAGGAUCCGAGCGUUAUCCGGAUUUAUUGGGUUUAAAGGGAGCGUAGGUGGAUUGUUAAGUCAGUUGUGAAAGUUUGCGGCUCAACCGUAAAAUUGCAAUUGAAACUGGCAGUCUUGAGUACAGUAGAGGUAGGCGGAAUUCGUGGUGUAGCGGGGAAAUGCUUUGAUAUCACGAAGAACCCCGAUUGCGAAGGCAGCUUACUGGACUGCAACUGACACUGAGGCUCGAAAGGGUGGGUAUCAAACAGGAUUAGAUACCCGGGUAGUC